rnacentral:tRNA from 2 species
AGGAGCGUAGCUCAAUUGGUAGAGCGCCGGUCUCCAAAACCGGAGGCUGUGGGUUCGAGUCCCUCCGCUCCUGCCA